rnacentral:pre_miRNA from 14 species
CUCAUUGGUCUCCAUUAUUAAUAUAAAGGGAGGUCAUCAUUUUGAAAGAUCCCUGAAGAGAGACCCUUACUCAAGUCUCGGGAAAUCUCAGACCCCAGACACAGAGAGACCA